rnacentral:rRNA from 1 species
AGUAGACGUUCAGAGUUUGAUCCUGGCUCAGAACGAACGCUGGCGGCACGUUUUAAGCAUGCAAGUCGAACGGCAGUGGGGGCUUGCUCCCAUGAGAGUGGCGAACGGGUGAGUAACACGUAGGUGAUCUGCCUUUGGGUUGGGGAUAGCUUGUGGAAACACAGGGUAAUACCGAAUGAGCUGACGGGACUUUGGUCAAGUUAGUAAAGGUGCUACGGCACCGCCUAGAGAGGAGCCUGCGGCUGAUUAGCUAGUUGGUGGGGUAAAGGCCUACCAAGGCGACGAUCAGUAGCCGGCCUGAGAGGGUGUACGGCCACACUGGAACUGAGACACGGUCCAG